rnacentral:rRNA from 1 species
GAUGAACGCUGGCGGCGUGCCUAAUACAUGCAAGUCGAGCGAACAGACGAGGAGCUUGCUCCUCUGACGUUAGCGGCGGACGGGUGAGUAACACGUGGAUAACCUACCUAUAAGACUGGGAUAACUUCGGGAAACCGGAGCUAAUACCGGAUAACAUGUUGAACCGCAUGGUUCAACAGUGAAAGACGGUUUUGCUGUCACUUAUAGAUGGAUCCGCGUCGCAUUAGCUAGUUGGUAAGGUAACGGCUUACCAAGGCAACGAUGCGUAGCCGACCUGAGAGGGUGAUCGGCCACACUGGAACUGAGACACGGUCCAGACUCCUACGGGAGGCAGCAGUAGGGAAUCUUCCGCAAUGGGCGAAAGCCUGACGGAGCAACGCCGCGUGAGUGAAGAAGGUCUGCGGAUCGUAAAACUCUGUUAUUAGGGAAGAACAAAUGUGUAAGUAACUAUGCACGUCUUGACGGUACCUAAUCAGAAAGCCACGGCUAACUACGU